GUGUCUUGGGUGCUGCUAAGUGUGUAAUCAGCAUUGCCAGCAGUUCCAUUCUACACCCUGUGAUGACAUGUUACUUGCCUUGCAACACCUGUUUGGACCUGGGUCCCAGAAGGAUGGUGAGAGCGAGAAGCCACUCAAAUGUGGUGCUCGAAGUUCAGGGAAAAGGUGACUUGGGGAUGAUCAUUGUAACACUUAACCCUUAGGGGUAUGGAGUGGUUUACGAGUUUAGAGGUGCUUUCCCAAACAGGCCAUGUUUGAUUGUCCUUGAUCCAUACGUCAUUCCUGUGCAGCAGCCUGACAUGGGAAACAGACAGCACAGCUUGUGCUGUGGCAAGGCAGGGCACAACUCCAGCUUGCAGAGGACUUCUGGCAGGUAAGAAUCCACAGGCUAUCACUGCUGUCACAGUCUGCCUGGGAGUCUCUCUCUGUCGCCCUGGCUGGAGUGCAGUGGCGUGAUCUUGGCUCACUGCAAGCUUCGCCUCCUGGAUUCAAGCAAUUCUCCUGGCUCAGCCUCCUGAGUAACUGGUGUUAAUGCGUGCCACCAUGCCCGGCUAGCUUUUGUAUUUUUAAUAGAGACGGGGUUUCACCAUGUUGCUUAGGCUGACCUCAAGUGAUCUGCCCACAUCAGCUCCCAAAGUGCUGGGAUUACAGGUGUGAGCCACCACACCCGGCCAAAAAGAUCACUUUAGAACUUUAGCAACUAACUUCUUCUUGGAAAGAAUAAAGAUAGAGUAUUUCUUUUCUUUCAUUCAUUCAGCUAUUUGUUCAUUUGUUAGUUUACUCAUUCAUUUAUUCAAUUUAAGGUUCUAAUCUAAGUGACACAACCAAGAGGCAGCCUGGAAAGAUCACUGGACUAGAAAUCGAGACCUGAGUUCCAUUGUCUUUUAGGGACACACUUGGAAAUAUUUACAGGUGAAAUUAUGACAAAUGUGUAAUGUCUAAGAUUUAUCAAAUCAUCUGUGAAAGAGAGGGUCGCAGAUGAAAUGACACCAGCCUUGAAGAGGUAAUUGCUGAAGCUUGUGAUGCAGACACAGGAGUUCAUUAUGCUUUUCUCUCUACUUUUAUGUAGGUCUGAACUUUUCCAUAAUAAAAGUUAAAAGAGAGAAGGAGACACUGAGGUUACAAGCCCCACCUUGCCACUUGCCAACUUGAUGAUUGCACAAAGGUCUGUUCACCUCUCUAGGCCUUAGUUCUUCACCUUCCAAUAGGGAAGGGAAUUUUCAAGGGAAAGUUAGGACAAAGGUGCUCUGAGGUGUCUUUUGUAGUCAAGGGUCAGGGUUUAUGAAACUUUGGCUGUCGUUUAUCUGAACUGUGCAAUGAGAGGCUGGACCAGGAUCUCUGAAGGCUCCUCCAGCCUGUGUGUCCUACCCCUUCUCCUUGGAGUGCCUGUAAGUGGCAAGGCCUAUGAGAAUGGACAGUCUGGACACAGAGGGAUCCUUGCCCAGGACAGGCCAUGCCCAGCCUUGCCAGGCCCUCAGUGCAGUAGUGAGUUCUGCACCCCUUCCAGGAGGUCCUGGGCUGUCAUGGCAGAGUCAGGCAAGACAGGGCCUCCUUAGAGAUGGAAGGUUGCGCAGCCCUUCCCCA
rnacentral:lncRNA from 1 species